UCCUCUUGUCAGUACUUUCUCGAGCAUUGGCCGUUCACCUCAAACCUGGAAGGUGAAUCUCUAAACUCACAAAACCUUUAAACCCAAACUUUGAUCUCAGUCGAUCUGUUAAACCCUAGUGAAUCAACUUUCUUGUUUACGGCGCCUAUGCCUCUCUUCUUUUUAAGUUUUUCUUCUAUUCUUUUUUUUAUUCUUUCUCGACUCUGAUCACAUCGAAGUUACUUUCUCUGCAAUUGAUUUUCUUCUUUCUUUUUUUCUUUCAGUUAUGUGAUUUAUUUCUGGGUUUUAUUUUUCUUCCGAUUAUUAGAUCUAAACAACACUUGUGCAUGGUUGUUGUUAGAAUCUUGUUGUUCCCUUGUUCCCUAAGGGCACUUGAGAUAGACAGACAGCAUCGAUGAUGGAGAAAAACCUUGUAAUCAUCCUUGCACUUUGAAUUUUCAUAGUGAAGAAAACUAAUGGGGAAAUAUGAGUCUGAGAUGCUUCUUUGCUUUCAUUUUGGGCUUGUGAUUUUUAUAUGAAAAGGAAAAAAUUUCAAUCUGUAAUUUUUUUUUAUUAUUACCUGGAUCAGUGAUGUUUAAAUACUGCGUUAUCUUCCUGAAAAAAUUCCUCCAAUGAGGAUUUUCAUUCGAUGACAAAAUGCCUACUGAGGUCCCUUCUUCCUAAAACUGAUUUUUUUUUUUUUGCUUUUGGUUUGACUUCAUGAUUUUGAAUGUGUUUUAUUUGAUGUUUCACCUAAUUUCAAGUUGCCAAACAACUUUGUAUGGAUUUCAGUUUGAUGAUAGGUAUUGUCGCCCCAGUCUUACAUGCAUCAAUGGUGCAAGAUGGUGACUGACUUCAAUUUCUGAUUCAAAUAAUUACAUAAGAUACUAUCUAAAAGUCUUUAACUUGUCUAGGUAUUAUCUACUAGCCCACACGUUUUAGAAAGAAGUUUGGAAAACCAUAUCAUUAUCAUUCGUUUUUCCAAUUUCAUCAAGAACAUUGUUGGCACUGACCCAAUACACAUAUUUUGUUUUCCGAACUCUUAGGGUUUAAUCCCGUGGAUUUGAAUGGAAGAUUGAUAUUCAAUAGGUGUUGUGAAACUAAGGUGUCCCUCAAUCAAGUAUUGUCAGGUUCUUAGUUAACCAACCAUGGCCACGUUCGAUUAGCAGUGGUAAAAUUUGGAGAGAUCGUAGAAGAUAUUAAGGAUGAAUCAGAAGUCUUUUUUGGAGAAGUUUGUGAUCAAGUAUGAGCAAGCUCCUGAGCUGUUGAAGAUUUAUAAUCAGGCAUCCAUUCGGCGUGUCUCGGAAGACUCCCAAAGUGAUGAGUUAAUCUUUGCUGCCAAGCAAGUCGAAACCUAGCUACUGGCUCGCUGAAAUUUGUGUGGGUGCAGCUCGAGAUAAGUACAUUGUCUUGGUGUGUUUUUACUUAAACCUUGCUGUCUAUGAGUUCUAUCGUAGCAUAUCCAAAGACACGUAUUAGGCAGAUAAGUGCAAACGAAUUGGACGCCGCAAUAAGUAUUUGAAUUCCUUUAUUCAGUUAGUGGCAUGAAAUGUGCAGUAGAUGUCUUAUUGUAAAACAUUUAUUACAUAGCCUUUACUUGGUCCUUUUGUCAAUUCCUGCUUCUCCUUGGCAUGUUAGGUGUCUGUAUGCUUGUUCCAUUCUCUCCAAAAAAUAAAAUAUGUGUGUACCUAUCACGUGCCUCAUACAUGUUGACAUGAAAAGAAUACAUUGUGUAGGUAGUAAUUUUCUAGUGUUUAACAACUCUACUUAUCUAGAACAUGUGUACUGGAUGACAAAAUUUUGGCUGUAAAAGUAAAGGAAUUUAAGUACAAUUCAGGAAAGAUACUUGUGGUUUGUUGUUCGGUUUUAAGAAAUUUAGUACAAUGUGUUUGCAAUGGCAAGAAUCAAAAUGUGACAUAGUAAUUAAGAUGGGUGCUUGUUUGAGUACUUACCUUUUGUGUUCCUGGGAAGCUCAUAUGCUUGUUUCAUCUAGGUGAAUCGCGGAGGAGAUUUGCAGCUGAACUUAGAACCACAUUGGAUCAUUCUCUGUGGUACAUGUUUGAUCCAUGAAUUUGUAGUUGCUGGAUGCGUAGCUACUUUUGUUGUAUCCAUGAAUUACUUUAAAUAGAUAAUCUGCUACUUGUGUUGUAUCCAUGUACGCGCAUAUGCCUCUCUUCUUUGAGGGUUUAAAGCAAAUUGGUAACCUAUUUUGUUAUUGUUUCUGGACUUCGAUGCCAUUGAAGUUAUUUAUUUGUUUUUGCUUUCAA